AGAGUUUGAUCCUGGCUCAGGAUGAACGCUAGCGACAGGCCUAACACAUGCAAGUCGAGGGGCAGCGGAGAGGUAGCAAUACCUUUGCCGGCGACCGGCGCACGGGUGAGUAACACGUAUGCAAUCCACCUGUAACAGGGGGAUAACCCGGAGAAAUCCGGACUAAUACCCCAUAAUAUGGGCUCUCCGCAUGGAGGGUUCAUUAAAGAGAGCAAUUUUGGUUACAGACGAGCAUGCGCUCCAUUAGCCAGUUGGCGGGGUAACGGCCCACCAAAGCGACGAUGGAUAGGGGUUCUGAGAGGAAGGUCCCCCACAUUGGAACUGAGACACGGUCCAAACUCCUACGGGAGGCAGCAGUGAGGAAUAUUGGUCAAUGGACGAGAGUCUGAACCAGCCAAGUCGCGUGAGGGAAGACUGCCCUAUGGGUUGUAAACCUCUUUUAUAAGGGAAGAAUAAGUUCUACGUGUAGAAUGAUGCCUGUACCUUAUGAAUAAGCAUCGGCUAACUCCGUGCCAGCAGCCGCGGUAAUACGGAGGAUGCGAGCGUUAUCCGGAUUUAUUGGGUUUAAAGGGUGCGUAGGCGGUUUAUUAAGUUAGUGGUUAAAUAUUUGAGCUAAACUCAAUUGUGCCAUUAAUACUGGUAAACUGGAGUACAGACGAGGUAGGCGGAAUAAGUUAAGUAGCGGUGAAAUGCAUAGAUAUAACUUAGAACUCCGAUAGCGAAGGCAGCUUACCAGACUGUAACUGACGCUGAUGCACGAGAGCGUGGGUAGCGAACAGGAUUAGAUACCCUGGUAGUCCACGCCGUAAACGAUGCUCACUGGUUCUGUGCGAUAUAUUGUACGGGAUUAAGCGAAAGUAUUAAGUGAGCCACCUGGGGAGUACGUCGGCAACGAUGAAACUCAAAGGAAUUGACGGGGGCCCGCACAAGCGGAGGAACAUGUG
rnacentral:rRNA from 1 species